AUGCCUGGGUGCUUUUCAAGACUGGCGGAGAGAGUGCGUGGACGUCGGCGGCCUACUGCGUCGACAGGUUGUUCAAAUUCAUUUGUGGCUUGUUUUUCUUGUCUUUUUCUGUUUUGCAGGGUUCGUGAUCGUCGACAGGUGGACAGCGACUUCGAAGAGGAAACAACUGUCCUGGAUGAGGUCCAGUUGGAUGUGCCAUUGGAUGAUGUGCUAGAUGUUCCACAGCUGCCAGUCCUCCUUGAUGUCCAGAAUGCUGCUAUGAUCCUUGAGGAUGUGCCAGAUGUGCAGACUAUCCUUGAGAACAAUGCCGGUCCGGUGGUUAAAGCUUGGAGAACAUUCCAGUUCAUCGGCCCCAUCAUCACCUACAUGCGUGGGGGAUCCCAGCAGGUGGUGGUGAGGAUGCACCACGUGAGUAGGGUGAAAGG
rnacentral:lncRNA from 1 species